rnacentral:rRNA from 1 species
AUGAACGCUGGCGGCGUGCUUAACACCUGCAAGUCGAACGAAGCACUUUAUUUGAUUUCCUUCGGGACUGAUUAUUUUGUGACUGAGUGGCGGACGGGUGAGUAACGCGUGGGUAACCUGCCUUGUACAGGGGGAUAACAGUUGGAAACGGCUGCUAAUACCGCAUCAGCGCACAGCAUCGCAUGAUGCAGUGUGAAAAACUCCGGUGGUAUAAGAUGGACCCGCGUUGGAUUAGCUAGUUGGUGAGGUAACGGCCCACCAAGGCGACGAUCCAUAGCCGACCUGAGAGGGUGACCGGCCACAUUGGGACUGAGACACGGCCCAAACUCCUACGGGAGGCAGCAGUGGGGAAUAUUGCACAAUGGGCGAAAGCCUGAUGCAGCGACGCCGCGUGAGCGAAGAAGUAUUUCGGUAUGUAAAGCUCUAUCAGCAGGGAAGAUAAUGACGGUACCUGACUAAGAAGCACCGGCUAAAUACGUG